UUUACCAGUAAAUCAGAGGCGACAGGUAACAGAAGUACAACUCAGUGGCUUGACUUUAAUAACCUAUGAUGGAACAAAAUGCAUUAACAAACGGGUUUCAAACAAGGUAGGAAUCAGUAGCAGUAAGGUUCAGAUCUAUAUGGAGGACGUGUAUAUAUGUGGGAGUGCACUGGCUGUGCAAUUAGUGUCAUCGAUUACUGUCAAUUAUAAAGGCAAAGAGUGGACAUGUCAGCUCAAAAUUAAGGUCGGUGUAUCUUUUAAAAACCAAUGUCGCCCCAGUUUGUGUACAACUGGGAAAAAAUUGCUUUACUGGUCUUGUGUCGAAAUGUGUCGUCGUCGCCCAAAAAAUUCGGUUUCACAUAGCGUCCCCCUCAGUGGUUGUGAUAAGGAUGAUAUUAGGGUUCAGGUUAGAAGAAACACAUUUCGAUGGGAAAACUGAUUUCGACACAACACCAGCCAAGAACAACGGAUGCUGCUGCUGCUGCUGCUGAUGAUGACAGGGAUGAAACAGAGGAGCUAGUGCCCAGUUUUCAUGUCGUCAUCAAAAUACCGAGAAGCACGUCACCCACUCUUACACAGCAACGCCAAACUACCCGCACAACCGCCUGCGCUUUACAGUUACCUCGGUUUAAAACGCAGAGCGAAAACGCUUCUACUGAUGCUCUGAUGACGGGACCAGCUGGUGUGCGGAACGUAUGGCAAACACAAUGCGAAGAUAAAGCAGCGCGGCCCGGACUUCCUCAUUAAGCGAUCCAGUGGUAUUUAAGUGUGAAGAUGGUUAGCUUGGUGGAGCUAAAAGAUGGUAUCACAGAUCCAGAGUACUUCACUAAAUGUGUGUCAUGAGGAGGCCAUCAGAGGACAGGCGAGUGGAGCUGGAGGGAGCCAUAGAGCUUGGGAGUUAGAGAUGGCUCCAUGUGUGUGGCUACCUGCUCAGCACUCUGGCUCAGAGAUACUGUCGUGAUGCCCCAGAGCAAUAAGCUACUGACCCCCAACUGCUCAGCAAGUCAGUCGUAACGGGUCGUGUUUGGCAGCACCUGGGUGUCAGUGUGUGGAGCUGGAUGGGUGAAAAGCAGAGGAUUGCAGCUGACGUGCCAGUGUGCUCAGUCAGUUCAGUGAGGAUAAAUAAAUAAUAUUACAUUUUUGAACAUCAUAGCACAAAACAGAGGUGACGUACUCAGUUCCUAUUCUUGAUGAUUAUAGAGUUUAGUCUUUCAAAGUCUGGAGUCUCUUUUUAAACUUUUGUUUUUCACUCAAACCUAUAGUUUAAUCAUAGAAAGCACAAGCACAAAUGUGAAAUUCUGGGCUAUUUGACAGAAGAUAAACAACGUCUCUAAUAAAUAUACAGUAUAACCAGCAUUUUUAAGUGGUCCUGUCAAGCUCU